UACGGAGGGUGCGAGCGUUGUCCGGAAUCACUGGGCGUAAAGGGCGCGUAGGCGGCCUGAUAAGUAGGGGGUGAAAUCUUGCGGCUUAACCGCAAGGCUGCCUUCUAAACUGUCAGGCUAGAGCACAGUAGAGGCAGGUGGAAUUCCCGGUGUAGCGGUGGAAUGCGUAGAGAUCGGGAAGAACAUCAGUGGCGAAGGCGACUGCCUGGACCAGCACUGACACUGAGGCACGAAAGCGUGGGGAGCAAACAGG
rnacentral:rRNA from 1 species